UACGAAGGACCCGAGCGUGAUCCGGAUUUAUUGGGUUUAAAGGGUGCGUAGGCGUCCUGGAAAGUUACGGUUGAAAUCUCCUUGCUCAACAAGGAAACUGGCCGUAAAACUAUCAGGAUUGAGUACAUUUGAAGCGGGCGGAAUGUGUCAUGUAGCGGUGAAAUGCUUAGAUAUGACACAGAACACCAAUUGCGAAGGCAGCUCGCUAAACUGUAACUGACGCUGAGGCACGAAAGCGUGGGGAUCAAACAGG
rnacentral:rRNA from 1 species